rnacentral:rRNA from 1 species
CUACGGGUUGCUCCAGUGGGGAAUAUUGGACAAUGAGGGAAACCUUGAUCCAGCAAUACCGCGUGUGUGAAGAAGGCCUGCGGGUUGUAAAGCACUUUCAGUAGGGAGGAAGAGCUGAUAAUGAAAAGUUAUCGGAAGAGACGUUACCUACAGAAGAAGCACCGGCUAACUCUGUGCCAGCAGCCGCGGUAAUACAGAGGGUGCGAGCGUUAAUCGGAAUGACUGGGCGUAAAGAGCACGUAGGCGGUUAGAUAAGUUGGAUGUGAAAUACCUGGGCUCAACCUAGGAAGUGCAUUCAAAACUGUGUAACUAGAGUUUGGUAGAGGAGAGUGGAAUUUCCGGAGUAGCGGUGAAAUGCGUAGAUAUCGGAAGGAACACCAGUGGCGAAGGCGACUCUCUGGACCAAAACUGACGCUAAAGAGCGAAGGCGUGGGGAGCAAACAGGAUUAGAUACCCUGGUAGUC